rnacentral:rRNA from 1 species
UGGGGAAUUUUGGACAAUGGGCGAAAGCCUGAUCCAGCAAUGCCGCGUGUGUGAAGAAGGCCUUCGGGUUGUAAAGCACUUUUGUCCGGAAAGAAAUCCUUGGCUCUAAUACAGUCGGGGGAUGACGGUACCGGAAGAAUAAGCACCGGCUAACUACGUGCCAGCAGCCGCGGUAAUACGUAGGGUGCAAGCGUUAAUCGGAAUUACUGGGCGUAAAGCGUGCGCAGGCGGUUUGCUAAGACCGAUGUGAAAUCCCCGGGCUCAACCUGGGAACUGCAUUGGUGACUGGCAGGCUAGAGUAUGGCAGAGGGGGGUAGAAUUCCACGUGUAGCAGUGAAAUGCGUAGAGAUGUGGAGGAAUACCGAUGGCGAAGGCAGCCCCCUGGGCCAAUACUGACGCUCAUGCACGAAAGCGUGGGGAGCAAACAGGAUUAGAUACCCUGGUAGUCCACGCCCUAAACGAUGUCAACUAGUUGUUGGGGGAUUCAUUUUCCUUAGUAACGUAGCUAACGCGUGAAGUUGACCGCCUGGGGAGUACGGUCGCAAGAUUAAAACUCAAAUGAAUUGACGGGGUC